GAUAAUUAAUUUAACGACUACAGUAAACGUCUUUUUGCAAUUUUAUAAUUUGUUUUUUAAAACGUAGACCCGACUUUGAUACCGAAUUUUUUUUGGUGGAAAUACAUGUACAUGUGGAUGAUACGAAAGCACAUGGAACACAUGAUGACAUUUAUAAUCAUGCAUAACCUAAUUCAACAUAGAACAUGCAUCACAAGCAACUAUACAAUUGUGAUACUUCUUAUUACCCUUAUUCGCACUGUAUCCAAUUUUAUGCAUCACCAAGCAACAUGUAGAACCCGACGUUAGCCUAACUCUUUAAAAUCGAAAAUUUUAAAACCUCAAAUAUCUCUACGAAAUUUCGAUUAGAGAGGAAAAGAAAGGCUCUAUAU
rnacentral:lncRNA from 1 species